UGAAUACAUGCGGGAACCUAGCUGCGGGAGAGCCAGGAGGGCCAGUGCGGCGACCCACUUCCUACCAAUAUCACUGUCACAUUGCGGGACCAGCAGUAUCUUAGAUACUGGACCCGCUUCCAGAAAGCUGAAUUCGGGCAGAGCCGGAGGGAGGGAGCAUAGCGGUAGGGGCCGGGUCUACAAGACACGCGCGCGCCAUCUGGUUUAGCUUUUGGCAGUCUCGGACACGGUUACAGGUGAACCUGUAAGUCCCCGCAGGAGUGGGGAAGUAUUGGUGCGUCUCUGCGCUCCUCUGGGGCGGAUGCGGAGCCCCGCAAGCCUCAUGGAAGCAGAGCGAGAGGACUUGGGAGCUCUGGCUUCGAAGGCGGACGCUGGUGACGGAUUCCUAGGGAACAGCGACCUCUGGAGGAGCCGCUCAUCCACGCAAGGUUUUCAAAACUGGUUUCUUGUGUGGCGAACUUCAGGCACAAAGAGAAAGCUGACUUGUCCAAGGUCACAUCACAAAUGGGAAGUGGAGGCAGAACCAGAACUGUAGUAUCUGGUUUCCCAGCUCAGGGCCGACUGCAUUUCACCUGGAUGGGGAACAGCCGAGUGCAGCCAUGUGACUAUGUCCUGGCCCAUGGGGUGUCAGCAGAGGUGUUUAGUGGCGGUUUCUGGAAGUCUUCCUUCAGAGGGAGGUGAUGUGUACACUUGGAGUCCUUUUUUAUCACUGCUACUUGGACCAUGAGGCCCUGGUCACCAACAGCAGAGCCACAAGAGAAGGGCCCUGGGUUCUGGAGAGCAAUGAACCACCAUACCACCCUGAACUGCCUGCAAAGAUUUUUAUGUGAA